rnacentral:rRNA from 2 species
ACGAACGCUGGCGGCGUGCCUAAUACAUGCAAGUCGAACGCACUCUCGUUAGAUUGAAGAAGCUUGCUUCUGAUUGAUAACAUUUGAGUGAGUGGCGGACGGGUGAGUAACACGUGGGUAACCUGCCCUAAAGUGGGGGAUAACAUUUGGAAACAGAUGCUAAUACCGCAUAAAACCUAGCACCGCAUGGUGCAAGGUUGAAAGAUGGUUUCGGCUAUCACUUUAGGAUGGACCCGCGGUGCAUUAGUUAGUUGGUGAGGUAAAGGCUCACCAAGACCGUGAUGCAUAGCCGACCUGAGAGGGUAAUCGGCCACACUGGGACUGAGACACGGCCCAGACUCCUACGGGAGGCAGCAGUAGGGAAUCUUCCACAAUGGACGAAAGUCUGAUGGAGCAACGCCGCGUGAGUGAAGAAGGUUUUCGGAUCGUAAAACUCUGUUGUUGGAGAAGAACGUAUUUGAUAGUAACUGAUCAGGUAGUGACGGUAUCCAACCAGAAAGCCACGGCUAACUACGUGCCAGCAGCCGCGGUAAUACGUAGGUGGCAAGCGUUGUCCGGAUUUAUUGGGCGUAAAGCGAGCGCAGGCGGUUUCUUAAGUCUGAUGUGAAAGCCUUCGGCUCAACCGAAGAAGUGCAUCGGAAACUGGGAAACUUGAGUGCAGAAGAGGACAGUGGAACUCCAUGUGUAGCGGUGAAAUGCGUAGAUAUAUGGAAGAACACCAGUGGCGAAGGCGGCUGUCUGGUCUGUAACUGACGCUGAGGCUCGAAAGCAUGGGUAGCAAACAGGAUUAGAUACCCUGGUAGUCCAUGCCGUAAACGAUGAGUGCUAGGUGUUGGAGGGUUUCCGCCCUUCAGUGCCGCAGCUAACGCAUUAAGCACUCCGCCUGGGGAGUACGACCGCAAGGUUGAAACUCAAAGGAAUUGACGGGGGCCCGCACAAGCGGUGGAGCAUGUGGUUUAAUUCGAAGCAACGCGAAGAACCUUACCAGGUCUUGACAUCCUUUGACCACUCUAGAGAUAGAGCUUUCCCUUCGGGGACAAAGUGACAGGUGGUGCAUGGUUGUCGUCAGCUCGUGUCGUGAGAUGUUGGGUUAAGUCCCGCAACGAGCGCAACCCUUAUUACUAGUUGCCAGCAUUUAGUUGGGCACUCUAGUGAGACUGCCGGUGACAAACCGGAGGAAGGUGGGGACGACGUCAAAUCAUCAUGCCCCUUAUGACCUGGGCUACACACGUGCUACAAUGGAUGGUACAAC